GGAGGGGUGGCCGAGUGGUUGAUGGCAACGGUCUUGAAAACCGUCGAUCCGCAAGGAUUCGUGGGUUCGAAUCCCACCCCCUCCG
rnacentral:tRNA from 1 species